UCCUCCUCUCAGAUAUUAAAGCAAUCGUGCACAGAGAUCCUGAGUAUAGAGCCGUCCAGCGUCUGUGUGAACGAGUCCUUCGACAUCGUCCUCAGAGGAAACGGCUUCUCCAUCGGAAGCAACGGAGGAGUCGUCUGCAGCUUCAUCGUCAACGAGCAAACCUUCAAUCAGAAGCCGACUGCUGUCCGGAAUGAUUACAUGCUGUGUCCUGCUCCCAAACUCUAUGAAGUCGGACAGAAGAUGGACGUCCUCAUCAGUCUGAACCACGGGAAGUCCUUCAUCUCCAGCGCCUACACCAUCCACGCCUCCACCUGUUCGGACGGUUUGGCGGUGGUGAUCGUCUUCCUGGUUCUGCUGACGCUGGUCGCUCUGGCCCUCAUGUGGUGGUUCUGGCCUCUCUGCUGCAAA